rfam:Lupinus angustifolius cultivar Tanjil chromosome LG10, whole genome shotgun sequence.
UAAAAUCAUUAGCCUCAAAAUGGCACUAAAACAAAUCAACUCAUUUUCACAAAUCAGGAACAUAUCGUAAACAUCAAAUGAAAUGCCAUGCUCAUCCUUGUGGUGAGUGCUGUAUGGCCAUCUAGACAUAUGGCUAACAUAAUUUCUGGAGCCUAAAGGGUUGGCUCAUUUUGGCCGACCCUCUU